ensembl:lncRNA
UUUGUUUGUUUUUUUACUGUGCUUUCCCUAUGGAAUACACAACAUAUGACAAAGCUUUUCAGCAAUAUCCUUUGACUGUUUGGCAUGCUUAGCUUAGUUGCCUGCCUUAAACUGUUACUACUGCUUGCUUUUAAUCUUUUCCAGCCAAAAAUUGCUCCUCUCACCUCCUAGUUAUCAGUUCUCCACAGAAUUUGUUCUUGCUUCUGUUCCUCGGACAAAUUCCAGAAGAUAAGUGAGGUGAGCAGGCACAAUGAAGGUGUUAUCAAACUCUGCAUGUGUAUUUCCAAGAGGGACAGUGUGGCUUCAGCUGAAAAUGCGAGUAUUCUGAGAGCUUUCCCUGCCUUAGGCCUGCCACAGCUCAAAUCCUUGGAUCUCUGAUGGGACUAAAUUACCAUACCUAUAGGAAUAUUUCUGUGAAGAAUACCUCGUGCUGCACUGCAAGCUGUCUGCUAUCAGUGCUCUCUGGAAGACAGCACACAGAACUAGAACUACAAAGGAUAACCACAAAACCAUCUCUUGUUCUACUUGGAAGUAACAAAAAUGAGAUAACUGUGGCUAAUUAUGGAGAGAGAUACUCCCCAAAUCUGGAUUUACGUAAUUCUGUCUCCAUUCACUGUACCAGUCUGGCUUGUGUUGAAGGGGGCUGAAACAGAAGAUGGGCCUGAACUUGGCAGAGCAACUCAGUUCAGCAUUAAUGAAAAGGAAACAUGCAUAAGAAGAGGCUUCUUGGUGUCCAGAAAUACAGACACAGGACCAAACCCCUGCCCAGCACUGCAACUGCACUUCUGCUGUUAGUUUUUGCAACUAAACUGGAAAAAAAAUUUGACAUUCACUCCGGAAAGAAAGGAAACUCAACAGAUUCUUACACAAUUUAAGGUUGAAAUCAAAUCCAAAAAUGUCUCAUAAUUUUGCCUUUCCCAUUUAUGCAUUAUGUUCUUCUCGUUCAAAUUUAACCUUCAUGGUACAUUCAGAGCAAAUAAUUCAACUUAUGUUAAAACAGCAUGGUUUUGGUUGGGUCUUUUUUUUUUUUUCUGAGUUAAUAGUGCAAAAAUUUCCCCAAAAAUUUUCAGGUUUCCUUUGAAAAGAAGAGCUUCUGGUCUAUGACUUAUUUCAUUUUACACCUUAAGAAAUUAUGUAAAUAAAAAAAAUAAUAAUAAUGUCAUGAAUGUGAUAGUGCUGAAAUAAAUCUUGUAAUACCAUCUACACACCACUGAAAUACACCUUCAGAGGAUUAUUGCGUGGCAACUUGAGACACUGCAAGGGAUCCACACACCAAAAGCUGCUCUGAAGUGAGGCAUUCUGAAUCUGCAGAAGGAAAAAUAAUGGGGGAAAUGUAUUUGUGUUAACAGCCCUUUAGAUAGAGACAUUUUUAGGGAAAAAAAAACCACACAACCCAAUACAAAAUAGAGAGAAACAGAAAUAGUUGCUCCUGUAACACUGUCAGAAAUAUAUAAUGUUCAUUACGCAGUAUGGAUAUAUAAUAAGGCAUUGAAUUGAACAAGAUUAAAAUAAAU